ACUAACAAGGAUUCCCCUAGUAACUGCGAGUGAAGCGGGAAAAGCUCAAAUUUAAAAUCUGGCGGUCUUUGGCCGUCCGAGUUGUAAUCUAGAGAAGUAAUGCCCGUGCUGGACCGUGUAUAAGUCUCCUGGGAUGGGGCGUCAUAGAGGGUGAGAAUCCCGUCUUUGACACGGACUACCAGUGCAUUGUGGUAUGCUCUCAAAGAGUCGAGUUGUUUGGGAAUGCAGCUCAAAAUGGGUGGUAAAUUCCAUCUAAAGCUAAAUAUUGGCGAGAGACCGAUAGCGAACAAGUACCGUGAGGGAAAGAUGAAAAGAACUUUGGAAAGAGAGUUAAACAGUACGUGAAAUUGCUGAAAGGGAAACGCUUGAAGUCAGUCGCGUUGGCCAGGGAUCAGCCUUGCUUUUGCAUGGUGUACUUUCUGGUUGACGGGUCAGCAUCAAUUUUGACCGCUGGAAAAGGGCCUGGGGAAUGUGGCAGCUUCGGCUGUGUUAUAGCCCCUGGUCACAUACGGCGGUUGGGAUUGAGGAACUCAGCACGCCGCAAGGCCGGGUUUCGACCACGUUCGUGCUUAGGAUGCUGGCAUAAUGGCUUUAAGCGACCCGUCUUGAAACACGGACCAAGGAGUCUAACAUGCCUGCGAGUAUUUGGGUGAAAAACCCGAGUGCGCAAUGAAAGUGAAAGUUGAGAUCCCUGUCGUGGGGAGCAUCGACGCCCGGACCAGAACUUUUGGGACGGAUCCGCGGUGGAGCAUGUAUGUUGGGACCCGAAAGAUGGUGAACUAUGCCUGAAUAGGGUGAAGCCAGAGGAAACUCUGGUGGAGGCUCGUAGCGAUUCUGACGUGCAAAUCGAUCGUCAAAUUUGGGUAUAGGGGCGAAAGACUAAUCG
rnacentral:rRNA from 1 species